AGCUCCAAUAGCGUAUAUUAAAGUUGUUGCAGUUAAAAAGCUCGUAGUUGAAUUUUGGACCUGGCUGGGUGGUCUUGCCGCAAGGUAAGCACUGCCUCUGGUCGGGUCUUUCCUUCUGGGGAACCUGUGUGCCCUUAAUUGAGUGCGCAGGGGAUCCAGGACUUUUACUUUGAAAAAAUUAGAGUGUUUAAAGCAGGCUUUCGCUUGAAUACAUUAGCAUGGAAUAAUAGAAUAGGACUUUGGUUCUAUUUUGUUGGUUUCUAGGACCGAAGUAAUGAUUAAUAGGGAUAGUUGGGGGCAUUAGUAUUUAAUUGUCAGAGGUGAAAUUCUUGGAUUUAUGAAAGACUAACUUCUGCGAAAGCAUUUGCCAAGGAUGUUU
rnacentral:rRNA from 1 species